rnacentral:rRNA from 1 species
UAGGGAAUCUUCCACAAUGGACGCAAGUCUGAUGGAGCAACGCCGCGUGAGUGAAGAAGGUUUUCGGACCGUAAAGCUCUGUUGUUGGUGAAGAAGGAUAGAGGUAGUAACUGGCCUUUAUUUGACGGUAAUCAACCAGAAAGUCACGGCUAACUACGUGCCAGCAGCCGCGGUAAAUCGUAGGUGGCAAGCGUUGUCCGGAUUUAUUGGGCGUAAAGCGAGCGCAGGCGGAAGAAUAAGUCUGAUGUGAAAGCCCUCGGCUUAACCGAGGAAUUGCAUCGGAAACUGUUUUUCUUGAGUGCAGAAGAGGAGAGUAGAACUCCAUGUGUAGCGGUGGAAUGCGUAGAUAUAUGGAAGAAUACCAGUGGCGAAGGCGGCUCUCUGGUCUGCAACUGACGCUGAGGCUCGAAAGCAUGGGUAGCGAACAGGAUUAGAUACCC